GCCUGGGUGGCUCAGUUGGUUGAGCGUCUGACUUUGGCUCAGGUCAUGAUCUCGGGUCUGUGAGUUCCAGCCCCGCGUCAGGCU
rnacentral:tRNA from 1 species